GUCUAUGGCCAUACCACCCUGAACGCGCCCGAUCUCGUCUGAUCUCGGAAGCUAAGCAGGGUCGGGCCUGGUUAGUACUUGGAUGGGAGAAAUUCUGACCCCACCCUGAGAGUCCCAGGCGAGCCU
rnacentral:rRNA from 1 species